UACAUUACUAGUUACUUCUAUCAAAAGUAACUCCAUUACUUCAAGUUACUCGUUACUUUCAGAGUAACUAGUUACAACCCAGAUAGCAAGGAAACAUUGAAACAAUGUUGAGUCAAUAUCAGGCUGUGUCAUUGAAUCAACGUUGAAGUGUGACGUUGACCUAACGUCACUCUUGCACCCUUUUUUAACGUUGAAACAACGUCAGGUUUUGAUGUUGAAUCAAUGUUGAAACCUGACGUUGAUUCAACGUUAUAUUUUCUAAUACUGUUGACAUUGAAACAAUGUCAGAUUCUGAUAUUGAAACACUGUUGAGCUAUGGUGUUGAUUUUCCACCUCUUUCGCACAGUUGCUUUUUAUUAAAACAACAGUUAAAUCAUGACUGGAAAUCUACCUUUCUUUAUAGGUAUUUUAACCAAUACUAAACUACUGCAUGUUUCCAUCAAUACUUCAACCACCUAAACACAUAAUUGUACUUAUUCCUUAAAUUGGACACCCUUUAUAAAAAAAACCCAAAUGUCUCACAAUGUAUCAUGUCAAUAUUAAUAUCCUAAAAUAAGAAAAACGGUCAUAAGUAAUUACAAAUGUGCUUUUGGAAUAUUUUUUCCUAAAGUUACAGUUUGAUUUAUAACAACACACACAGGAAGUGAAGUGCACAAGUGUACACGGCUUUGCAUUUAUAAAAAGUUUACAAGCUUCCACUUUUUGGACUAUAUUAUGUGGUGAUAUUGCAGAUAAACAGGAAACAGAUAAUUACAAUAUAUUUCAUAGUCACUACAAAACUUGAUCUAUUGAUUGAACUAAAUAAUAAAUAAUAGCUUAAAAUGUAUAUAGGCAACAAUUACAAGCAAACCCGUAUAUGUAAGCAUUUAAACACUGAAGAUAAUAAAAUUAACAGUAUUUUGUCUAAGUCUGCCAUUGUAGGAAUUCAUGGCACCGAGACAAAAACUUGGCGCACAGUGUGGCGUCAAAAUAGGCGCACACCUUUGACGCUGCGUUUUCUCCGUCUUCCUCGUCCACACGUAAAUGCUAAACGCAGUUUACGUGUGGACAAAAGGUGCAAACGCAAGUUAGGUGAGCGUGCAGCGUAAAGUUUGAAUUGAGUGCGAAUCGAAGCGGGUGCUCUCCAAUCAUUAAAAGUAACAAAGUCAUUGAACACAUUUAUACAGUUACCUUUACGUUUAUCAAUCAUAUAUCACAGAUUUACAAUUUUUUGUAGUACUAUGCUAAAAAGCAACUACAGAGCGAAAGUCUGGGUCAAG